ACCCUUUUCUUCUUCAACACUAUCGUCCGCUCACACACAAUUUCUCUCUCCCUCUCGGCUCACCUCUCAGAUCGGCGGCAGCAAGGCCGCCGGUGCAACAACAAUAGGCGGCUCCAGGCCACCGCCUCGGCCAACCACCGGCUACCACCACCCGCGUCGCGAGCAGCGACACCGUCUUCGAUUUUCCUCGUCCCUCUCUAAAACACACACACACGUUCUCACACACCUGCAUCGACACCUCCCUCUCUUCCUCACUAAGACCACCGCCGCCUCAAACUCCGGCGGUUUAGUGGCGGCCACGAAGAACCCACGGUCACCACCGCACGCCACCACCACUCCUCUCUCCCUCCUUCGAACGAACCCACACAGAGACACAAACCCAAGCUCCACUGCCGUCUCCCUCACGAGCCCGGCCGCCGCCCGAAGUCCCCGGCGUCGACACAGCCAUGGCCGUGCCUCCGAAUUCAGCCAAAGCCCCAAAUUUUCCCCCCUUCCUCCUCCUUUCUCUCUGCGUACCAGACGGACAACAUAAAUGAGUCGCCGCCGACCGCCUGGUCCCUCCCUCUCUCGGCCGAACAGUAGCAGCUUCCGCCACCGCCACCGCCGCCCUUCACCAACUGGACUCACUGAGCAACCCAGCCCACACAACAACUCAAUACUCAAGCCCGACUCCAGAUUAGUUCAAAGUUCAUCGAUCCCUCUUCUAUUUCAUUAAUACAUGUAAAAGUUCUUGAAAUCGUUUAAUCAUGCUUGUUCAUGAGUGUAAAGAAAAGUACACACAUACAUGAAGUUCAUCACUUUAUUCAGUUUCUCACACAUUUGCAAAAGUAAGGAGUGUGUGUCCAGCAUAAGUGCAAAAUGCACUAAUGCUUGACAUUCAUGUAUGUGUACAAUGUAUUUUGUAAUAUUUGUGUAACAAUGCAUAUUUAUGUAUUUCGGAUUGUUAAUGUUGUUAAUGAUGUGUAUCCAUCUAAUGAAGACAAUGUAUCCUCUAAAAAUGCUGAGCAACUACAGUUGGGAGAAUUGAGGUGAAGACAAGUACAUAUAUUUUCAAUAAGACGUGUGAAGAAACCAAAAGCAUAUAGAAUGUUAAGAUUCUGGACAUGGGGUGCCUUUAGGAGCAAGAUAAAACCAUCUAAGAUAAAAGAAUUAAUAAGCUUAAUAUCAGGUAUGCAUUCUUUCUGCAUAAUAUUGCAGUAAUUAGCUGUUCAUACAUUAACUUGCCGAAUUUUGAUUUGACCAGCAUUGCAACUGUGACCAAUUAGUUCUCCGAUUCACAGAUGAUUGGAGUUAGUGGAACAUGUUUUGUGUUUAAGGUGACUUUAUUUAGAGCUAAAUCAUUUUUAUUUUCCCAUAUAGUAUUAGAUAGCAUGGCUAAGAAAUAUAUUCCCAUGUAUACUAAUUCUAGUAUUACUUUAUUUAGAUUGUAUUACCAACAGGGCAAACAGUUGCAGUUAAAAGAGGUUUGCUUGAUCUUAAUGAGUUCAAAAAUGGACUGCCGAA
rnacentral:lncRNA from 1 species